rnacentral:lncRNA from 1 species
CUACUCUACAUCAUCCCAGGUCUACUACCUACUCUACAUCAUCCCAGGUCUACUACCUACUCUACAUCAUCCCAGGUCUACGUCAUCCCAGGUCUAACUAACUACAUCAUCCCAGAUCUAUUAACUAAUCUACAUCAUCCCAGGUCUACUAACUACUCUACAUCAUCCCAGGUCUAUGUCAUCCCAGGUCUACUAACUACUCUAUAUUCUCUACCCACAACCGCUGUGUGUGUGUGUGUGUGUGUGUGUGUAACGUAGGCACAUGAGAGGGCAAGCGAGACAAAGCCUGUUAGAACAUUUUAGACCAUCUCUGGCAAGACUUACUGACUUCUGAACCAGAGCGGAAGUGUCUUUGAUCUUUAAA